UACGUAGGGUGCAAGCGUUAAUCGGAAUUACUGGGCGUAAAGCGUGCGCAGGCGGUUUUGUAAGUCUGUCGUGAAAUCCCCAGGCUCAACCUGGGAAUUGCGAUGGAGACUGCAAGGCUGGAGUCUGGCAGAGGGGGGUAGAAUUCCACGUGUAGCAGUGAAAUGCGUAGAGAUGUGGAGGAACACCGAUGGCGAAGGCAGCCCCCUGGGUCAAGACUGACGCUCAUGCACGAAAGCGUGGGGAGCAAACGAAGG
rnacentral:rRNA from 1 species